rnacentral:rRNA from 1 species
GUGUCAGCAGCCGCGGUAAUACAGAGGGUGCGAGCGUUGUUCGGAAUCACUGGGCGUAAAGGGUGUGUAGGCGGUGAAGUGUGUCCGAUGUGAAAGCCCUCGGCUUAACCGAGGAAGUGCAUUGGAAACUACUUCGCUAGAGUGUGGGAGAGGAUAGUGGAAUUCCCGAAGUAGAGGUGAAAUUCGUAGAGAUCGGGAGGAACACCAGAGGCGAAGGCGGCUAUCUGGCCCAUAACUGACGCUGAGACACGAAAGCGUGGGGAGCAAACAGGAUUAGAAACCCCAGUAGUCC